rnacentral:rRNA from 1 species
CUGAACCAGCAACUUGAAGGAAUGUAUAGCGAAAGCUAGUUGUGCUUGAUUUAGUGUAAGCUAAAUUGGUAUAAUAUUGACUAUGUCGAAUAAAGUUCUAGAUAGAAUUAUGAUGAUGACAUUGUCUAUCUAUGUGUCUUGACCAAAUUACGUGCCAGCAGUCGCGGUAAUACGUAAAAGACUAGUGUUACUCAUCUUGAAUAGGUUUAAAGGGUACCUAGACGGCCAAUCAAGCCUCUAAAAAGGUACUAAUGGGCUAGAGUUUAAUAUAAGUAGGCUUUAAAGUACUGAGAAUGUUGAGAGAUGAAAUUCUGUGAUACUAUAUACGGCACUGGUAAAGGCGAAAGCAUCUUAUUAUGUAAAAACUGACGUUGAGGGACGAAGGCUGUGUGUAGCCAAAAGGAUUAGAUACCCAAGUAGUCUCAGCAGAAAAUGAUGAAUGUCAUGGUGUAGAGUAAUUUUGCACUAUAAAUGAAAGUGUAAGCAUUCCACCUUAAGAGUAAUUUGGCAACAUUGGAACUGAAAUCAUUAGACCGUUUCUGAAACAAGUAGUGAAGUAUGUUGUUUAAUUUGAUGGUCCGCAAAAAACCUUACCACUUUUAAUUUGAAUAUAAAAAUAUUUAUACAAGCGCUGCACGGUUGUCUUCAGUUAAUGUCGUGAGAUUCUGGUUAGUUCCAUUAAAUUAACGUAAACCCAUACUUUAUUUUAUUAUAGAGUAGUUCACCGCUAGAUUGGAUGUGAUAAGAGGGACUAAGACAAGUCAUCAUGGCCUUAAUAUUAUGGGCUAUAGACGUGCCACAUAUGCCUCUACAAAGGGAUGC